AGGACCAUAGCUUGGCAGUAGAGCGUCUGCUUCACACGCAGAGGGCCCCAGGUUCCAUCCCAGGUGUCUCUA